CCUACGGGAGGCAGCAGUGAGGAAUAUUGGUCAAUGGUCGGGAGACUGAACCAGCCAAGCCGCGUGAGGGAGGAAGGCACAGAGUAUCGUAAACUUUUUUUGUCAGGGAACAAAGCCUGGGACGCGUCCCCGGAUGAGUGUACCUUAAGAAUAAGCCUCGGCUAACUCCGUGCCAGCAGCCGCGGUAAUACGGAGGAUGCGAGAGUUAUCCGGAUUUAUGGGGUUUAAAGGGUGCGUAGGGGGCAUUAUAAGUUAAUGGUAAAAUUUUGGGGCCUCACCUCACUACGCCAUUAAUACUGUAGGGCUAGAGUACAGGAGAGGUAGGCGGAAUGAGUAGUGUAGCGGUGAAAUGCAUAGAUAUAAGGAAGAACACCGGUAGCGAAGGCAGCUUACCGGACUGAGACUGACGCUGAUGCGCGAGAGCGUGGGUAGCGAACAGGAUUAGAUACCCGAGUAGUC
rnacentral:rRNA from 1 species